UAACCCAUGAAGCAUGCCAAUUAAAUCAUGCUUAGAAAGCCCCUUCUCUUCCCAAGAGGAAUUCUGGGGUUGCAAUCUAAGAGAACAACUUUUUAUAAAAACAAAAGUACUCAACAUUGAGUAUUUACUGUGUACCAAGCACUAUGAUUAAUAGUCAUUAACUCAUUAAAUUCUUAUAUACCCCUUAUGUUGAAAAUUAUAUUAAUAUUAAUAUCCCUAUUUUAGUGAUAAGGAAAUUUGCCUAAGGCUCACAAUAUUAUGAAGCAAUACAGUCUGAACUAGAAUCAGAAGUGCACUCAUAACCACUCUGUCUGGUUGCCCCAUGCUGUGUGCUGAUGAGAGAAAACACAUUUAAAAUUUAUCCGAGAUAUAUGUUCUGUGGAAACCACGAACUCUAGAACUGCUCAUUUGGAAAAUUACUGCAGUAGCAUGCCAUGAAUGAAAGUCUUCACUGCAACGUUUCUCAAAGAUGAAGCACCAGAAACAAUACCUGGAAACUGGAGCAGUCAUCAAGUACUGAAGGAAAGCUAGAAAAAUACCAUUUUCAUCCAAAUGUUUCCAGAUUGAGAUUCUGUAUGUCUAAAACAGUUGAGCACUGGAAAAUUAUAUCUUGAUAUUUAGAGAAUUAUUGCUUUGUAAGUCUUCUCUAUACAACAGGCCUGGUAAUGGCAAAUAACAAUGGAGCUUUGUCAAUCCAAAAUGCAAACAUAAGAUAACGGCACAUAUCACACUUCUCAAUAAACAGUCUGGAGGUUUCCUCUUAA